GACGAACGCUGGCGGCGUGCUUAACACAUGCAAGUCGAGCGGUAAGGCCCUUUCGGGGGUACGACGAGCGGCGAACGGGUGAGUAACACGUGGGUGACCUGCCCUCAGCUCUGGGAGUAAGCCUGGGAAACGUGGGUCUAAUACCGGAUAUGACUCCAUGACGCAUGUUGUGGGGUGGAAAGCCUUGUGCGGCUGAGGAUGGGCCCGCGGCCUAUCAGCUUGUU
rnacentral:rRNA from 1 species